GCAGGAGCCUUUUUCAGUGGAUCAGUAGUAUAGAGAAGAAGAGCAGUGAUCUACAGCUGAUGUGCUUGUUUACUAGCGCUUCCAGUCUCGUCAGUGACUGAAUUGCUAUUUGGUGUUUUAGCACACCACCUCUACGUGGCUGUCUAUCGAGUCUUGGCCUAAUUACACAUGUCCCUUGGACUGGCAUGACAUUAGAUGGUUGUUAACUAAUACUCAUUUGACAUUUCGAAAU